GCCGUGCAGUCGACACCAUGGCGUACCCUGGGCACCCUGGCGCUGGCGGCGGGUACUACCCAGGAGGGUAUGGAGGGGCUCCCGGAGGGCCGGCAUUUCCCGGACAAACCCAGGAUCCACUGUAUGGUUACUUUGCUGCUGUAGCCGGACAGGAUGGGCAAAUCGAUGCUGAUGAACUGCAGAGAUGUCUGACAGAGUCUGGCAUUGCAGGAGGAUACAAACCUUUUAACCUGGAGACUUGUCGGCUUAUGGUUUCAAUGCUGGAUAGGGAUAUGUCUGGCACAAUGGGCUUCAAUGAAUUUAAAGAACUCUGGUCUGUACUGAAUGGCUGGAGACAGCACUUCCUCAGUUUUGACAGUGAUAGGAGUGGAACAGUGGAGCCUCAAGAAUUGCAGAAGGCCCUGACAACAAUGGGAUUUAGGUUGAGUCCCCAGGCUGUGAAUUCAAUUGCAAAACGAUACAGCACCAAUGGAAAGAUCACCUUUGAUGACUACAUUGCCUGCUGCGUGAAACUGCAGGCUCUUACAGACAGCUUUCGAAGACGGGAUACUGCUUAGCAAGGUUUUGUGAAUUUCCCAUAUGAUGACUUCAUUCAGUGUGUCAUGAGUGUUUAAAUCAAGAAGGAAGCCGCGGAUAUAAUCGACAUUCCAACUGGAGUUCUCCUUCGCCCUUCCUCUUUGCCUGCAGUAACGUGUGUAAACUUGCAUUGCCACUUUCCCUUAGUAGCUGAUUGAAAAAUUUAUUCCUUUAUGUACAACUGAAGUUUUGUUUUUAGUUUUGAUAAUAAAUUCUUUGUAACUU